AUUGAACGCUGGCGGCAUGCCUAACACAUGCAAGUCGAACGGCAGCACAGCCGUAGCAAUACGGUGGGUGGCGAGUGGCGGACGGGUGAGGAAUGCAUCGGAAUCUGCCCGAUCGUGGGGGAUAACGCAUCGAAAGGUGCGCUAAUACCGCAUGAGAUCGAGAGAUGAAAGCGGGGGACCGCAAGGCCUCGCGCGAUCGGAUGAGCCGAUGCCGGAUUAGCUAGUUGGCGGGGUAAAGGCCCACCAAGGCGACGAUCCGUAGCUGGGCUGAGAGGAUGAUCAGCCACACUGGGACGGAGACACGGCCCAGACUCCUAAGGGAGGCAGCAGUGGGGAAUAUUGGACAAUGGGCGCAAGCCUGAUCCAGCAAUGCCGCGUGUGUGAAGAAGGCCUUCGGGUUGUAAAGCACUUUUAUCGGGAGCGAAAAGCGGACGGUGAAUACCCGUCCGUGCUGACGGUACCCGAGGAAUAAGCACCGGCUAACUUCGUGCCAGCCGCCGCGGUAACAC
rnacentral:rRNA from 1 species